UCCAACCAUUUCCUUCCCCCAAACCUCCAGCACGGUUCACCGAAUCAUCGUCUCUGCAACCCGAGUCUAAAGACUAAAACCCUAACCCCCACUCUGUUCUAAACUCUAACACCUCCAGAACCCCAUGGCCACACUUGCCCGCCUCCGCCACCGCCUUCUCCCCUUUCCCAUCCCUCACGUCCUCCUCCGCCAUCUCUCCUCUGCCACCGCGAUCCUGAGCCCCAGCGACCCCUCCGCCGUGCUCACUAGCAAGCAGAAGUCCCGCGCCGCCCUCUCCCUCCUCAAGUCCGAGAAGAACCCUGCCCGCAUCGUCGAGAUCUGCCGCGCCGCCGACCUCAACCCUGCCUCCCACCUCGACCGAACCGCCCUCUCCAUCGCCGCCUCCAAGCUCGCCGCCUCUGGCUCCUUCGCCGCCCUCCGCUCUUACCUCGAUGGCUUCCUCUCCCCCCGCCCCGACAUCUCCUCCGACAGCCUCCGCUCCCACGCCAUCGUCCUUUUCGGUCAGGCCGGCAUGCUCGACGACGCCAUUCGCACCUUUAAGACUUCCGAUUCUUUCUCCGUCCGAUCCCUCAACGCCCUCCUCUUCGCCUGCAUCCUCGCAAAGAAGCACGACGAGGUCGGCUGGAUCUUCCGAGAUUUCCCCACUUCUUAUGGCAUCACCCCGAAUCUCGACACCUACAACACCGUCAUCAAGGCUUUCUGCGAGUCGGGCACAUCAAGGUCGUUCUUUUCGGUGCUGGACGAAAUGAUCCGCGUCGGAAUUAAACCAAAUAUGACGACUUUUUGCGCGGCGCUCGCCGGAUUUUACCGGGAGGAGCGGUUUGAUGAUGUGAGGAAGGUUUUGGAGCUGAUGAAGAAGCAUGACUGCCAUCCUGGACUCAGCGCUUACAAUGUGAGGAUACAGAGCUUGUGCAAGCUUAAGAGGGUUGGUGAGGCAAAGGCAUUGUUUAAGGAGAUGUUGGCGAAAGGCAUGAAGCCAAACUGGGUUACUUACAACCAUCUGAUAUUCGGGUUCUGUAAGGAGGGGGAUUUGGAAGAGGCAAAGAAACUUUACAAAGAGAUGUGUAGAAAAGGGUGUGUGGCAGAUAGUAGCUGCUACUUUACUUUGAUUUAUUACCUCUGCCGAGGUGGGGAUUUUGAGGCGGCUCUGGGGGUGGCCAAGGAGACCAUGGCGAGGAAUUGGGUUCCGUGCUUUUCAACUAUGAAGAUGCUUGUGAACGGGCUUGUGAGUGGGUCGAAGGUUGAGGAGGCACGGGAGCUUAUUGAGAAGAUGAAGGAGAAGUUCUCAGGGAAUGCCGAUAUGUGGAAGGAAGUGGAAGAAGGAUUGCCUCAGUAAGUCUGAAGGGAAUGAUAAGAAUGUUUUGAUGAAACAACAUAGACUUGCUUGAUGGGAAACUAAAGCCCAGUGGAUUUAUGAGGAACUGCUGGGACCUUGCAGCAUAAAGUUUCAUACCUUCUUACACGGGAGAGUUUAGAGGUAUUCAAUGGAUCUCAGCACAAGUCCUGAUGUUUCUUGCAGCAAAUGGCUUGUGUCUGCUGGCAAAUGCUCAUUAAUCAUCAGGCCCUCUCUAUCGAUUUGUGGUGAUGUGGUGUAAUUUUGAUAGGGAUUCAACUACAUCAAUUUGAUUAAGUUCCUGGAGGAAGAUACAAUUAUGCAAAAAGUGGAUGUUUACUUUUAUAUUGAGCUUGGACAGGCUGUAAACCUGUCACUGAGAUUUGCAAGAUAUGCCCGAGUUCCAUCGCAGGAUGGUUAGAGAAACAAAAUGGAUGCUUCCUUGAACAGGAAAGCAGACCCAGGAUGGUUUCUAAAGGAACUGCUGAGACCUUGGCAGCUUUGAAAAGUUUCAUGCCAUUGUUUCUGUGGGAGAUUUCGGAGCUUAAAAUCAGAAUAAGUCUUCUGUACUAUUGUUGUUACUUUGUUCAGUGAAUGCAAAUGAAUUUUCGAAUAGGAA